rnacentral:pre_miRNA from 1 species
UUUUGGGCGGGGGUCAAGAGCAAUAACGAAAAAUGUUUGUCAUAAACCGUUUUUCAUUAUUGCUCCUGACCUCCUCUCAUUUGC